GGAGAGGGGAGAGUAAAAUGGACCAUGCAUACUGCAUUUUUCUUGUCCUUGACUGUCCUCCAAGGUUCCCUUCUUUGAUCACCAACAGCAGAAGCAGGCACAAGUGCUUUUGAGCAUGGAGAAUGAAUGAAGAAAUGAGAAGAAUCUUCAAUUCUCUGUUUGGUGAUCACAGAUAAGGUCCAGGUGGAAAAUAUCUCCUCUGCUCAAGAAUAUAAUCCAGCAAGUUACCAGGCCAAAUGGCUCUCUGAACACGAGCCCACAAAGCGCUGAAUGAGGAAGUGCACUGCUCCAGGAGAUUUCAGCACAGCCAGCCAGAAGGUGGCUUUAGCAGUGGUGCUAGAAACAAAAAAAUGGCUUGAAACGGUUUGUAACUGACUAUCCUGAUAAGUGAUUGUAGGUAAUGUUUCAGUCACUCAUGCUUCUUCCUUUUCCUCAAAAUAAACUCUUGUUUUCAGCCACUGACCCGUGGCUAAUGGCGGUUAGCACGAUGCAUCUGAGCUCCAGGCUCGCUCCAUGUAAUGAAUUAUUCUGCUUCGUGGGGGCUCCUUUGCUGAGAGCUGCAGGCACAUGGGAGCUCCUGGGGCCAUGCUCUGGGACUGAGCACAGCUGGAGGAUCUCCGGCCCCUGCCACUCAGUGCAGCUGCCUGCUUGCUAGCAGUGCCAGGGCCAGAGGCAGGGCCUGCAGCUUCACUGCUCAAGGGUCUAGGCUGAAGUCUGGUACUAGCAUGUAACUCAGAUGGUGAUCAGCAUAUAACUCAGAGAGGGACCAGAUGACCAGUGUCUGGAAGUGACAGUGAGGCAUUCACCUUAUGUAAAAGAAGUGCCUAAGACAUGUGGGAAAAUGUCCUCUCUUUGUACCUGGCACUGAUUAUGAACCAGCUUGCCUAAGUAACUCUUUCUAACUGGUGGAAGCUAGGUGAGGCAGUUCUACUUGCUGCAUUUGCCUCCUGUCAUCUCUUCAGACAGACUGUUGUCUGCCAUGACAGGCAUCACUAUACGUCUAGUAUGGAAAACCGUCACUGAACACCUACGCACAUCUGUAAUAAAAACAAUAGCUAAGAAGUCACAUAGAGCUACUGACCAGUGUUUAGUAGCCUGAGUAUGUCACCCUACUUCAAUAUAGAAAGAUGGGAAAUGGAAAGUCUCUGGAUAUUAACCCAGGAUGUGUUACUCAGUCUGGCUCAGACACAAAAUCAUGCUUUGGCAGCUUAACAAGCUGCUGUGUGCCUACUGAGCAGCUCUUAUUAUCCUUGUGCUGAUCUCCUCCUCAUCUUAUCUAUGGUCAUGUGAAAGGCGUGCACACAAAUGGAUGCCUCAGACUGAUACAUUGCAGCCUGUUAAGCCAUGGUUAUCAUGUUCUAUAGGCCACUCACAGACCCACACCAGAUCUUUCUUACUCAGGCUUCAUGCUGACACCAGGGAUUUAUUAAAAUCUGCUGUGCAGCUAUAAAGAUUUUUGCUAAAUAUGUAAUAAACAUCAAUGUGUGGUGUAUAGGAAGUUGGACAGAAUGGCUAUUAGGAAAAAAAGUUUAGCAUCUGUUCGGUGAGUUUUCAUGCAUGAUUUGUUAGGUAAAGGUUAUCCAAAAAGUCAAUACAAGUAUGCUCAGAAAACAUAACAUCAAUUAAACCUCUUGACAGGUGCAUUACAAAGCAGCAGAAGAUCAUUCAAAGCUGCCCAGGAAAAUUCAGUUGCUCCUGAGGGGAGAAAUGCCUCAUCAUCCUCCUGGGCUGCUUUAUGAACCUGCUGGUCUGCUAGGCUGAAAGCCAUUGCUUUGCUCCCAGAUGGCGUGAGCUGCAUUUGGAGAGGCAAGCAGCAUCUCUCAUCCCUCCGAUGUGCCAGUCUGGCAGUCUUUGAAAGCAGGUGGAUGAGCAUUGUUUUAAAAGUGGAUUUUUAUACUCACAGUAGAUACCAGCUUGAGACUAGUGGAAGCUCAAGUCCUUAGCUUACCCAUGGAAUUUGCACAGUGUGGGUGCUGGCAGUAUACAGAGCACCCACACAGAUAUUUUUCAGAGAAAACACAGGAACUUUGGGUUCAUGUGUUGAGUUUCCAGCACAGCUGCUAUGUCUGAAGAGACCACAGUUCUCUCUCAUUGUAUUAUGCUUCUCGCUCCUGUUGCCAGCCCUCUCUCUUGUUCACCCACAUAGGACCCAACAACCCACUGUCCUUGGUUUCCAGACCAAGCCCACAGGGCUCCUGCCUUUGAAGGUUCUGGGUUUUCAGAUCACCUCCUGAGGCCAAUGUGGUAGUUGGAAACAAGAUAAACAUGCAGUCUGCAUCAGGUUGAAGAAUAUAACCACAACAUGCUUUUGCACAAGAAGGAUGCACAUCUAUCUGAAAACAGCCCAUAUGUGUGCAAUGCUGGAUUCUGCCCAUGCAUUUCCAACUUUGAUCCCCAAAUGAGAAGUCUCCUCCCUCCUUACAGUGCUGUAUGUUUGUUUUUUUUUGUUUGUUUGUUUGUUUUUGUUUUUUGCUCUUGGCCUUUUCUUUUUCUGCUUUAAUAUGACCAAUGAGAUCCUUUUGUAUGAACAUUGCAAACUUUCAUCAAGAUACUUGAGUUUGAUCUGCAAAACUAUCAAAAACUCACAGCAAAUCAUUUAUUCCUCACUGUCUUGAAGAGCAGAGCUGAAAACUUGGCUUACUUUGAGCUUAAGCUAUCUUGGGAUGCUCCAAUCAAAGAUGUGUCCCACUGUCAUCUCUACUAUGCCACCUAAAGCCUUUCCUCUCCUUUGUUAUUACUCAUACAUGAAUCUGAAAGCAAAAGAAGACAAUGAAUCAUUCUACACAUUGGAACUGGGAUUCAUAAAUGAUACUCCAGCAGACUCUCCCAAAUGUUGCAGCUGUAUUUCAGGCCAUUAAGCUGCCACUGAAAAGAUUUGUGUUUCUUCCGUUCCAAUCCCUUGACAGAUUCAAUUGCCAGAUGUAAAAGUUUUUAAUUAGAUAUUUAGAAAUCUUUAUAAACUGGUGGGAUUACUGAGCAGAAACCCAGCACUGUGAAGGCCAUAAGGUCUGCUCAGAAAGGAAAAUCUUUAUAAAUAAGCAUGCUGAAAGGAAGAGCAAAAUAACCACUACCUCAAGCUAUGAAUCAAUGUAUUUCCGAGAGGUUAAGGCCCUGAAUCAGCAACAUCUUUAAAAAUAUCCCUAACUUUAAGUGACCCCAUUGACUUCAGUUAUAUACAUAUGGGUCAUGAGUUUGCUCAUUUGGGACUUCCUUUUAUGAGCUGAAAUAAAUGCAUUUUUUAUUCGAGGUAUAAAAAAUCAUUCAUGGAGUCUGGAGUUGUGGCCUUUACACAGUAUGAGAACACAGUGUCUGGAAAAAUGUAAAAUCAAAGUAGGGAAACUUAGAGUGGGAGAAAGUUAGUAAUACUACUCCCAUUUAUCACUGUAAGAAAUUGAGGCUCAAGGACCCAAUGGUUUAUUUAGGGCCAUAUUAAUAGUAUAUUGCAAAGCCAAAAAACAUCCCAAUCUCCCAGGUCCUGCCCUCUGUACAUUAAUCUUCUGGUGUAUAUUCAGAGGAAUUUCCAGUCAUCCUAUCUCCUCCUUUAGACUUCUUGCUAACAUCUGAGCAAGUGAAAGAGACAGAAAAGAAUGAGCUAGAUAAUCUUACUGGGGAUCAGGAAACAUACAAGGACUGUUGCAAAAAUAAUGUGUUUUAUUUUAUUAUUUUGGUCCACAACAUCAGAGGCAGAUGUUGGUAGUAUGGCAGUAGAGGAUGAACCUUCCCAACAAUAUUCCAUUACAGUUUCUUGCUGUACAACAAAUGGAAGCAGAGGUGCAGUCUGAUGUCUGAUGUGAAAGUAUAUAUGGUGUGGAAUUGAAAUCCUCCAUGAUGAAAAAAUGGCACCCAUUGACAUUCAUUAAUGCUUGCUGAAUGUUUAUAGAGACCAAACAAUAGAUGUUGGCACAAUGAGGUGAUGGGUGGUGCAUUUCAGUGGGGCAGCACUGACAGUGAUGACAGCCACGCGUAGCUGUUACACCAUGAAAUGAAGAGUGUUUUGAUCUGCUCCUCUGUUCAUAUCAGUGGAUUAUGGCCAGGGAAUUAUGUAUGGAGCUGAAUAUUGGAAACAAUGGUGGCAAGAUCAGAAUAUUGACAAGUUCGUGGGUCCCACGAAUGCUCACACAUAACAGAAAGAGCAAGUUGGUCAGGACCUACUGUACGAAUAUGAAGCUGACAGUUUCCUGGAUCGCAUCAUUAUCAGUGACAAGAAGUGGUGUCAUGACUAUGAACCAGAUUCAAAACAACAGUCCAUGGAGUGUUGAUGUGAAUUGCCCAUUGAAGAAAAGGUUCAAGACACAUCUCUCAGUGGGAAAAGUGAUGUGCACUGUUGUUUGGGAUAGGAAACACAUGAUCCUUCUGGAUUUCCUGGAACCCAGACAAACCUUCAGCUCUGCCUGCUACAUCAUAACUCUGACAGGCUCAAACUUUCAAAGUCAGGUCAGACAAGAAGACAACCUUUCUCUUGCAGCACGAUGCCAGGCUCAAUACCAGUUUGAAGACCAGUUCAGAGCACACUGCCAAUCUUGGCUGGACUGUCCAACCACACCCACUCAAUAGUGCAGAUUUGGCACAUUCUGACUUUCAUUUGGUCAAUGAAAAAUGGUCUGUGUGGGCAAAAUCUUCCUAGAAAUGAUGCUGUCAAAGCACUUGUGAAACAGUACGGAUAUUUAUGAGUGUAUCAUGCAGGCUUGUAUUGAUUGCUGGUGAAAAUGCAUAGCUAAUGGUGGUGACUAUGUUGAAAAACAUUUUGUUGAAGAGAGUUUGCUCCAUCAAAUAGUGCUGUUGUGCUCUUUGUGUCUGCUGUAGUUUCCAUGGAAAUAAAUAGAAGGCAUUACUUUCAGAGCAAACUAAGUAUCUUCUUGCUCUAAAGUUUUUUUUAUACACUUGAGUAUGAUAAGCUGGUGAAGUGAGUAUUUUUGCCUAAUAAUCUCUGAAUCUCUGUACGAAUUUUCAAGGAAAAGUUUUGUUGUUGUUGUUGUUUUUGUAUUAUUCUUUCAGAUAGUUUUAACUGAUAUUAUUUUUCUGACCAAGCACAUCAGCCAGUCUAUUGCAGCUCAUUUCAUAGAACAGGAGCACAAACAAUAAGAAGCACACUCACUGAGCCUUGAGUAAUUAAAUACAAGUAGAACAGUGAUAAUAAAAAGAAAGAAAACACUGGAUAAGUUUUCUGAAAAGGAAAGAGGUAUAAUUACUUCAGCCCAAGGGCAGCAAUAACACAGACAUUGACAAAAUAUAAGGAUUUUAUGUGCUUAUUGACUUAGCCAUUCACCAAAAAAAAAAAAAAAAAAAAAAGUCAUUAUCUUAGCAAAUGCCACAUUACACGAUAAUAAUCAAGCUACUGUACUAUACCUAUAAGGUACAAAGCACCUUUUACUGAAAAUCAAAGGCACUUUUCUGAACAAUUAAGAGGAGAAUUUUAUUGUUGUGUGGUGAUAUGGCCACAUAUUUUACUUUCUGCUUUUUUAACAUUUAGAGGCAUUUUUUGCUCUCUUUAUUUUAUUACAAAAUGCUCUGGAGUGCUUCUGCUGACUUUUAGUGAAGUAGCUGCAGUUAGUACAGAAGCUCUUAGCAUGCCCAGCUGAGGCACAUCUGACCACCUCAGCUGUGAAUGAUAAGCUUGCAAUACGAAAUGACUGAAAAAGAUAAAGGUAAGCUUAUCUGUAAACCUUAACUCCCCCUUUUUUCCCUCUCUCUAUACUGCUAGUAAGGUGUCUGUUGGACUAAUGAUAGGGAUCCUCCAUCUUAAGACCAAAGGGAUUAUGAGGCUGUGGAAGAAGAAACUGAUGAAUGCUGACAAGGUCACGUGCUGGCUGGCUGGCAGCUGGGUCCAAGGAUUGAAGGUAAAAGACACAGAGGUGGAAAUGAAACACAAGGUCAUUUAAUUUACAAUCCUUCAUUUUGCUCAGCAACUUUUUGACUAGUAUCAUUUUAACACUAUUGAUGAUCUCAACUGAUUAUUUCCUGUAGAGAGUGUUCACAGCCUAAUAUUAAUUGCACAACACUGUAAAAUUUCCAAAAAAUUUGAAGGGGUUAAAACAAAAUGGUACUGCAGCUUUCUGCUAUUAGAUAUCUGCUAAUGGGAGCACAUGAUGAAGGUUAGAGUAAAUUAAUUGCUUGAUUAUACAACCCUUGGAUCUUGCGUUCAUAGGCUAAGUAACAAAUCAGUGUUUCUGUAUAUUUUUAUUCUAAUUACAUAAUGAUAUAGUAGAGUGUAGGGACAGUCAUCCCAAUGGUAAUUUUUAAUUGUGGAAGUUCAGAGACUUCUGGGUAGGUUGGAACAGUAGCUGAACCUGCUGCUCUGUUUUUGGUUUUGCUCACACUGAAAUGUAGGAAAGCCUCUUAGUGGGAUGCAUGCAUGCAUGUCUAGGAAUACUGGCACUGCUUGGUUUCACUAAUUUUUUUUUUUUUAAUAGACAAAGUGGAUUUUCUGCCCAACUUAGAAACAUAAAUCUGCCAAGAUGUAUAACAAAGACUAAGUCAUGGACAAAGCAGCCAGAGGAAACUCUGAAACUGUCUGAUAGCACUGGGGUAACAGAACGUCACACUAAGCUGCAACACCUCAUCCGCCAGCAAGCUCCUUUGGACUGUAGCUGCCCUAUAACGUUUCUCACAUAUGCAUGGAACUAUGAAAUUCAGUGUUCCAGCACAACAUUAGUUAGAUUUAGCUUUGGUGCUUGGCUGCUGGUUACUGCUGAAAAAACAGAGGUUUGCUUUGCUAAAGCAUCCAAAAUGAAAUUUGCUUGCUGUUGCUGCACUAAGUUGCCAUCCAGCAUGCACUGAAGAAAAAAAUCCUGGUUAUUUUCCCAUGGCUCCCUUAGCCAUACAAGUGCUAGGUGGGAAUGCACCUUCCUUGUGAAAAUGGACUGUGGAGAACAGAUCAGCUGGAUUCUCAGGUUGUUCUCCUGGGGCCUUGGCAGGCUGGGACUCAGAGCUGCAGGCAGCCUCCCUUCCACUCAACCUCUGCAGGGUGAGCAAAACAGUGCUUCUACCUCCAUGUAGCUCUGUUUUGUAUAUGUCCUCUGUUCACUGCAAACAUAUGAAAGACACAUGUUUUAUUGCAGAUUUUUUUGGCAUGCAGACAAAGUGCAAGGAGAGGGGCUAAUUAGGCUUCAGGGUGGCACCUCCCUCUAGCAUCAUAAAUAAAAGCUAUUUAACAAAAAAUAUAAUAGGAUGCCAGUAAAAAUGCUUGGAAAUAGAAUUACAAUAGCCAAACUUGUAUUUUGUAAGUUGUUUACCAUAAAUGAAAUAAAGUACAAAGGAAAUGGAAAAUGUGGUAACUGUACUGAAUGCCUUUAUAUAGUUUUCAGAUGCCUCUCGGAGUUAUAUUUUAUUUCCUCUCAAUAUGUUUAUAGACUCUGUGUGGAAGGUCAUACUAUUUUUCCCUAGAGUUUUUUUCCUUCUGUCUUGGCUAAACCUUCCUAGAAGAGUUUUGGAACUUGGCAGUGUAAGAAACUUAAGACAGAGAAGCAGACUUCCCUUCCUAGACAUAUGUCAAUUUGAAAAUAUGAAAAAAAAAAGUUGCAGUAAAUAUAAAUCAAACACCAUGUGAUCUGCAGCAAAGUAGAGGGUUUUACCUAUCAAUCAGCUCUGAAGAUCCCAAAUUUAGUGCAACUAUGUUGAAGAUCACCAUCCUAUCUGCAGUCUCUACGUAGCUCUUAUGAUGACUAAUAUACCUUUCUUAUCUAAAACUAUUAGAGAAUGCUUUUUGCAAGUUAGCACUGGCAGUCACAAGUGAGUGGACACCAUCAUUUUUAACUUAGGUAACAUUCCAACAAAGUAACUGUGUCAUAUCCUUGUGUCAAGAAGGCUCUAGAUCUGAGACUUACCAGGCUAAGGUACAAACAAGAACUGGCUUUGAGUUAAAGGCUAAAUUACUAAAUUAUUAUUAUUAUUAUUUAUUUAUUUAUUUUUAGGAAGGGGUUGCUGGGCGGGGAAAGAACAGAUCUUGCCAUCAGGCUUGGGAACCACAGAUUUUCUUUAAGUACUGUAUACUCAUAACGACGUAUAUUUGCCUCACUCUGGAGAUGUGUUGAACUGAAUAUCCUUUAGUACUGAAAAGGAAUAAUCAUAAUUCAUAGUAGUUUUUUUCUUUUUUUUCCUGCAUCUGUCAUAUAAAAAUGUUCAAAAGGGGAAAAAUGUUUUCUUCUCAAUAUUAGAGGAAGGUAUUGCAUUCUUAUCCUGGACAAAUUUCACUGAAGUCUGUGAAGUUCCAGUUGAAUAAAUGGCAUACAGGAUGAGAGUAGGAGCUCUUUCCUUAAAAUGAGUAGUUGCAAGUUCAGAGUCUCAGGCUCAAAUAUUUAGAUGUUUAGAAACUAAUACAUAUGUAUAUUCUGGCACAUCAGGAUAAGAAUUUACCCUUUGUUGCCUUUCAUCCAGGGAAAAGGAGGGGUGUGAAAUUGCUUGAAAAAGUAUGACAUAAGUAGCAGAGAAAAUGGGCUUAGUGAGAUGAUGGUGUAAAACUCGGGAGGCGUAUCAUUGAGUCAUGCUGUGCCAAAAUUAGAUUUUAAAAUUGUUUCUGUCAUCUCAAGAAAACCCACAAGACUUUGUUCUGAAUAUCUUAAAGCUCUUAUAACUUCUGUUCAAAAGGAGUUGGCUAUCCUCUUCCUUGUUCCUCCAGACAUUCCUACAUGUUAAGAAGUUGAUAUAAUUUUUGACACAUUUUUUUUUUUUUUAAUAAAUAAAUGUCCUUUUUUCUUACCUGCCAUAACAGAGCUGCUGCCAGGGCCAACUGAAAAGUAUUGCAGAAUGCAUUGAAAUUGUAUGAAAAAGUUAUCUGUUGAAUUGGACUGAUUUCUCCAUCUGGUACUGCCAAUUAAUUUGCCAAAUUUAACCUUUUAAAAUGUCAUUCUUUACCCCCUCUUAAAGAUAACUAAUACUUUUUUUUUCUUUCUCUCCUGACUUCUUAGAAGCUUCUGCCCUUUUCAUAGAUAUAGGAAGUUCCUAAGAUGAUUGUGAAAAGGCAAAAAAUGUAUUGCAAAUCUGGCUUCCUUCUGGGAAGUAAGUGAUAAUUUUGCGCCACAAAAAGUCAGUAUAAUGUAAUUAAUAUUGUUCUUUUAAUCACCUUAAAAUAUGAGAAUGCAAAGCAAUGAAGGCAGAAUUAUUCAAGUGCCUGUUUAAAAGUGCAUCUGUGCAUGGCUGUCCUGUUGACAUCUUGUUUUAAUGGGUAUUAGGAAUUCCUUUCCAGUUAAAAAAAAACAACCCAAACCAUUAUGCUGAUGCGUCUGUAGACCUUUUAUUUUUCAGUUAUUAAUCUUGUAUUAUGUUAGGUGUGUGUAAUUCUUUUUUCUUUCUUAGAGCCAUUUCAGUCUUAAUUGUGAUGACUGUUAGUAUUUCAUUCAGAGAACUAUGAAAAAUGAUGAUACUAAAUGUUUUACAAAUAGGCUUUUAUUCAUACUACUUGCCUUGCCAUAAUGCUCAAUGACAUGAUUAGAAAUGAUUUUUAACUGGCUUCUGGGAAGGUGUCAUGUAUCAGUGUUGUCAUGUGAAUUAAUUGUUAUAGUAAUGAUAGCAUAUCAAUUAUUCAUUGGAAGGUUGCA